rnacentral:lncRNA from 1 species
UCAUUUUGCUCAGUGCAGAGUGGCCAAAAGCAAGUUGUAUUGGGAAAAAGAGAAAAAGAGAGGAGAGAAAGAAGGAAAGAAAAGAGAAAGAGAAAAAAAAGGGAAGAAAAAAAACGAAAAAAAAAAAAAAAAGAGAAGAAAAAGAAAGGAGAAAAUAAAGGGGGUGGGGGAAGGAAACAAAUCAAAAAGCAAAACAAAACAAAACAAAACAAAAAAAGAACCACGGGGGAGUAUCUUCUGAUUCUGUGUACUUUAAGUCCCUUGACUUCCCCUGGAACUGGUCCGUGUAGCUGGUCUUCUGGGGGAGGGGCCUGUUGUGCUGGUUUUCAGGUGUUAGCAGUUGGGGGAGCUGCUGUGCCCCUGCCUGGUGCAGGGCUCAGUGGGGGUUGUUUACCCCGUGAGGCCGCAGGAGGAACAGCCCCAGUGGCGGGGCAGCUCUUCAGCUCCGGCAGGAACUCCGUCUGCAGGGCCUGGAGGCUCCGGGGCGGGGCCGCUGAUCUGCUCAGCUGGGGCAGGAGCGUCCUCGCUGUCCUGGGCCCUCCCGGCCUCUGCCUGUCCCGGGGAGGCGGGAUCCUGGGCUGUGUCCCGGCGCCCUGUGCUCUGGGACCUGCGCUGUUGGAUUCGCGCUCCUGCCCCGCAGCCCCCUCCGUGGAGCCGCCGCCCGAGCCCCUCCGAGCUGCUCCUGGAACCGCGCAGCCCCCUCCGCACGGAGCCUCUUCCUCUGCCCGAGCCCCUCCGAGCUGCUCCCGGGGCCGCGCAGCCCCUUCCGCGGAGCCGCCGCCCGAGCCCCUCCAGCUGCUCCGGGUCCCGCCGGGUCCCCCGUGCGCGCUGCAGCCCUUAGGGAGCUCGGCGCACUCUCCCGGGGCGCAGGUGUCUGUUACUGUCCCCGGGAGCCCGAGGGCAUCCUCGCCCUCCUGGGUCCUGCUCCACCUCCCUGCGAGCCCCUUUCCCCCCGGGAAGGUCGGUGCAGCUCCUGCUCCUCCGGGACGGGGCUCUCCUGUCCUGGGGACACUCGCCCCGGCCUCAGCCCGGCUCCUCGCGGGGCCCCUCCCCCUUGGAGGCCUUUGUUUCUUUACUUCUUUUUCCCCGUCUUCCUACCUCGAUAGAAGCGCGAACUCUUCUCACUGUUGCAUUCCAGCUGGUCUCUCUUUAAUUCUCAGGCCGAAUUCAUAG